rnacentral:rRNA from 1 species
UACGAAGGGGGCUAGCGUUGCUCGGAAUGACUGGGCGUAAAGGGCGCGUAGGCGGAUUGUACAGUCAGGCGUGAAAUUCCCGGGCUCAACCUGGGGGCUGCGCUUGAGACGUGCGAUCUUGAGUGGGGAAGAGGGUCGUGGAAUUCCCAGUGUAGAGGUGAAAUUCGUAGAUAUUGGGAAGAACACCGGUGGCGAAGGCGGCGACCUGGUCCUUGACUGACGCUGAGGCGCGAAAGCGUGGGGAGCAAGCAGG